CUGUUGAUGUAUUAAUGAAAAUAACAAGGCUAUAUAUUAUUAAUAGCAUUAAAUUAUUAGUGCUAUUAAAUUUUCAGUCCUCGAAUGAAGAGAUGUGCGGUUAGCAUGAUAGUGGUCUCCGGUUAGCAUAAUAACAAUUUUUUAGGGCUGAGUGGGUGGUUGAUUAAAUAGUAUGAUCCAACUAGUAAAAAUGGUUAAAGAGGUAGAUUCAACGGUGAAAAAUUCAAUGGCAUCAAGCGCUUGGUACUAUUGAUAGCAUAAUAGUAAAAAAUCUUUAUAUAUAUAUAUAUAUAUAUAUAUAAAAUAUUUAGACUGUAUAUAUAAUUUAAUUAAAAAAAUUUAUAAUAUGUAUUUCUACAAAUUAACAAUUCAUAUAUAAUAC
rnacentral:lncRNA from 1 species